GAUGAACGCUAGCGGGAGGCCUAACACAUGCAAGCCGAGCGGUAGAGUCUCUUCGGAGACUUGAGAGCGGCGCACGGGUGCGGAACACGUGUGCAACCUGCCUUUAUCUGGGGGAUAGCCUUUCGAAAGGAAGAUUAAUACCCCAUAAUAUACUGGAUGGCAUCAUCUGGUAUUGAAAACUCCGGUGGAUAGAGAUGGGCACGCGCAAGAUUAGAUAGUUGGUGAGGUAACGGCUCACCAAGUCAGCGAUCUUUAGGGGGCCUGAGAGGGUGAUCCCCCACACUGGUACUGAGACACGGACCAGACUCCUACGGGAGGCAGCAGUGAGGAAUAUUGGACAAUGGGUGAGGGCCUGAUCCAGCCAUCCCGCGUGAAGGACGACGGCCCUAUGGGUUGUAAACUUCUUUUGUAUAGGGAUAAACCUAGAUACGUGUAUCUAGCUGAAGGUACUAUACGAAUAAGCACCGGCUAACUCCGUG
rnacentral:rRNA from 1 species